UACACACCGCCCGUCGCUACUACCGAUUGAAUGGCUGAGUGAGGCCUUCGGACUGGCCCAGGGAGGUCGGCAACGACCACCCAGGGCCGGAAAGUUGGUCAAACUCCGUCAUUUAGAGGAAGUAAAAGUCGUAACAAGGUUUCCGUAGGUGAACCUGCGGAAGGAUCAUUAAAGAGUAAGGGUGCUCAGCGCCCGACCUCCAACCCUUUGUUGUUAAAACUACCUUGUUGCUUUGGCGGGACCGCUCGGUCUCGAGCCGCUGGGGAUUCGUCCCAGGCGAGCGCCCGCCAGAGUUAAACCAAACUCUUGUUAUUAAACCGGUCGUCUGAGUUAAAAUUUUGAAUAAAUCAAAACUUUCAACAACGGAUCUCUUGGUUCUCGCAUCGAUGAAGAACGCAGCGAAAUGCGAUAAGUAAUGUGAAUUGCAGAAUUCAGUGAAUCAUCGAAUCUUUGAACGCACAUUGCGCCCCUUGGUAUUCCGAGGGGCAUGCCUGUUCGAGCGUCAUUACACCACUCAAGCUAUGCUUGGUAUUGGGUGCCGUCCUUAGUUGGGCGCGCCUUAAAGACCUCGGCGAGGCCACUCCGGCUUUAGGCGUAGUAGAAUUUAUUCGAACGUCUGUCAGAGGAGAGGAACUCUGCCGAUUGAAACCUUUAUUUUUCUAGGUUGACCUCGGAUCAGGUAGGGAUACCCGCUGAACUUAAGCAUAUCAAUAAGCGGAGGA
rnacentral:rRNA from 1 species